GCCAGCGAAGAUAGCACGUUGAAUACACCAGUUCCCAAUAAAUCACUGAAGUUGAGCAACGUUGCGCGUGGUUAGUAUGAGCAAGGGUGACCAUCUGGGCAGUCACGUACUGCGGGCU
rfam:Asian citrus Psyllid, Diaphorina citri - Florida Strain, whole genome shotgun sequence.